rnacentral:rRNA from 1 species
UUCGCCCUUAGAGUUUGAUCCUGGCUCAGGACGAACGCUGGCGGCGUGCUUAACACAUGCAAGUUGAACGAAGCAUAUAGUAGGAAGCCUUCGGGUGGAAUAGUAUAUGACUGAGUGGCGGACGGGUGAGUAACGCGUGAGCAACCUGCCUGCAAGAGGGGGACAACAGCUGGAAACGGCUGCUAAUACCGCAUAAGACCACGGCAUCGCAUGAUGAAGAGGUCAAAGGAGGAAUCCACUUGCAGAUGGGCUCGCGUCCCAUUAGGUAGUUGGUGAGGUAAGGGCUCACCAAGCCGACGAUGGGUAGCCGACCUGAGAGGGUGAUCGGCCACACUGGAACUGAGACACGGUCCAGACUCCUACGGGAGGCAGCAGUGGGGAAUAUUGGGCAAUGGGGGAAACCCUGACCCAGCAACGCCGCGUGAGGGAAGAAGGCUUUCGGGUUGUAAACCUCUGUCCUUGGGGACGAAGGAAGUGACGGUACCCAAGGAGGAAGCUCCGGCUAACUACGUGCCAGCAGCCGCGGUAAUACGUAGGGAGCAAGCGUUGUCCGGAAUUACUGGGCGUAAAGGGUGCGUAGGCGGCCUGGUAAGUCAGAUGUGAAAUACCCGUGCUUAACAUGGGGGGUGCAUCUGAUACUGUCAGGCUUGAGUGCAGGAGAGGAAAGCGGAAUUCCUAGUGUAGCGGUGAAAUGCAUAGAUAUUAGGAGGAACACCAGUGGCGAAGGCGGCUUUCUGGACUGUAACUGACGCUGAGGCACGAAAGCGUGGGGAGCAAACAGGAUUAGAUACCCUGGUAGUCCACGCCGUAAACGAUGGAUACUAGGUGUAAGGGUUCAAGAAGGCCUCUGUUGCCGAAGCAAACGCAAUAAAGUAUCCCGCCUGGGGGAGUACGGCCCACAAGGCUGAAACUCAUAGGAAUUGACGGGGGCCCGCACAAGCAGCGGAGCAUGUGGUUUAAUUUGAAGCAACGCGAAGAACCUUACCAAGGCUUGACAUCCCUGUGACGUAUAUAGAGAUAUAUAUUCUCUUCGGGGCGCAGGAGACAGGUGGUGCAUGGUUGUCGUCAGCUCGUGUCGUGUGAUGUUGGGUUAAGUCCCGCAACGAGCGCAACCCUUAUGAAUAGUUGCCAGCGAGUAAAGUCGGGAACUCUAUUGAGACUGCCGGGGACAACUCGGAGGAAGGUGGGGACGACGUCAAAUCAUCAUGCCCCUUAUGUCUUGGGCUACACACGUGCUACAAUGGCCGGUACAAAGAGCAGCGAAGCCGUAAGGACAAGCGAAUCUCAAAAAGCCGGUCCCAGUUCGGAUUGUGGGCUGCAACCCGCCCACAUGAAGUUGGAGUUGCUAGUAAUCGCGAAUCAGCAUGUCGCGGUGAAUGCGUUCCCGGGCCUUGCACUCACCGCCCGUCA